rnacentral:lncRNA from 1 species
UUUAUGUGUUUAUUUGCUUAUUAGUUUAUUUAGACUAAGUUAAAAUCCCUACUAAGUCGCCCAAAUCUAUUUUACAUAAGUUUUUUCUAAAAAUUCAAUCACUUUUCUAUAAAUUAAUCUUUUCAGAAGUUAAUCAAAAGAUGUUUUUAAACAGACUGGAUAACUGCAAGUUAGCGGACGUUUUAGGUACCUAAUACCUUCC